rnacentral:rRNA from 1 species
UGGGGAAUAUUGCACAAUGGGCGAAAGCCUGAUGCAGCAACGCCGCGUGAGUGAUGAAGGCCUUCGGGUUGUAAAGCUCUGUCUUUUGGGACGAUAAUGACGGUACCAAAGGAGGAAGCCACGGCUAACUACGUGCCAGCAGCCGCGGUAAUACGUAGGUGGCAAGCGUUGUCCGGAUUUACUGGGCGUAAAGGAUGCGUAGGCGGAUUUUUAAGUGAGAUGUGAAAACCCUAAGCUUAACUUGGGGACUGCAUUUCAUACUGGAAAUCUAGAGUGCGGGAGAGGAGAAUGGAAUUCCUAGUGUAGCGGUGAAAUGCGUAGAGAUUAGGAAGAACACCAGUGGCGAAGGCGAUUCUCUGGACCGUAACUGACGCUGAGGCAUGAAAGCGUGGGUAGCAAACAGGAUUAGAUACCCUGGUAGUCCACGCCGUAAACGAUGAGUACUAGGUGUAGGAGGUAUCGACCCCUUCUGUGCCGCAGUUAACACAAUAAGUACUCCGCCUGGGAAGUACGAUCGCAAGAUUAAAACUUAAAGGAAUUGACGGGGGUCAUAGCUGUUUCCU